rnacentral:rRNA from 1 species
CCUANGGGGGGCAGCAGUGGGGAAUAUUGCGCAAUGGCCGAAAGGCUGACGCAGCGACGCCGCGUGUGGGAUGAAGGUCUUCGGAUCGUAAAACCCUUUCGGCAGGGACGAAAUCAAUGACGGUACCUGCGGAAGAAGCCCCGGCUAACUCCGUGCCAGCAGCCGCGGUAAUACGGGGGGGGCAAGCGUUGUUCGGAAUUACUGGGCGUAAAGGGCGCGUAGGUGGUCGGAUAAGUCAGCUGUGAAAACCACGGGCUUAACUCGUGGCCUGCAGUUGAAACUGUCUGGCUUGAGUGUGGGAGAGGAGAGUGGAAUUCCUGGUGUAGCGGUGAAAUGCGUAGAUAUCAGGAGGAACACCGGUGGCGAAGGCGGCUCUCUGGACCACAACUGACGCUGAGGCGCGAAAGCUAGGGGAGCAAACAGGAUUAGAUACCCUUNUANUC